UACGGAGGGUGCAAGCGUUAUCCGGAUUCACUGGGUUUAAAGGGUGCGUAGGUGGGUUGGUAAGUCAGUGGUGAAAUCUCCGAGCUUAACUUGGAAACUGCCGUUGAUACUAUCAAUCUUGAAUAUCGCGUAGGUAAGCGGAAUAUGUCAUGUAGCGGUGAAAUGCUUAGAUAUGACAUAGAACACCAAUUGCGAAGGCAGCUUACUUCACGAUCAUUGACACUGAGACGCGAAAGCGUGGGGAGCAAACAGG
rnacentral:rRNA from 1 species